AAAAUCCGUCGACUUUAUAAGUCGUGAGGGUUCCGUCCCUCUAUCCCCAAA
rnacentral:tRNA from 1 species